GACGAACGCUGGCGGCGCGCCUAACACAUGCAAGUCGAACGGAGUUGUGUUGAAAGCUUGCUGGAUAUACAACUUAGUGGCGGACGGGUGAGUAACACGUGAGUAACCUGCCUUUCAGUGGGGGACAACAGUCGGAAACGACUGCUAAUACCGCAUGACGCUUCUUGGGGGCAUCCCUGAGAAGUCAAAGCUUUAUGUGCUGAAAGAUGGAUUCGCGUCUGAUUAGCUAGUUGGUGAGGUAACGGCUCACCAAGGCGACGAUCAGUAGCCGGUCUGAGAGGAUGAACGGCCACAUUGGGACUGAGAUACGGCCCAG
rnacentral:rRNA from 1 species